ACAUGCCUAUAGCAUAGCAUUAAUGCAUUGAAUCCCAUUAGAACUCUGUAGUUAAGUGUGUUAAAUCUAGAGUAGUACUGGGAUGGUGACCGCUCAGGAAGUCCUAGUGUUUUACAUGCU
rfam:Picea glauca, whole genome shotgun sequence.